rnacentral:rRNA from 1 species
AGAGUUUGAUCAUGGCUCAGAAUGAACGCUGGCGGCAUGCCUAACACAUGCAAGUCGAACGAAGGCUUCGGCCUUAGUGGCGCACGGGUGCGUAACGCGUGGGAAUCUGCCCUUGGGUUCGGAAUAACAGCUAGAAAUGGCUGCUAAUACCGGAUGAUGACGUAAGUCCAAAGAUUUAUCGCCCAAGGAUGAGCCCGCGUAGGAUUAGCUAGUUGGUGAGGUAAAGGCUCACCAAGGCGACGAUCCUUAGCUGGUCUGAGAGGAUGAUCAGCCACACUGGGACUGAGACACGGCCCAGACUCCUACGGGAGGCAGCAGUGGGGAAUAUUGGACAAUGGGCGAAAGCCUGAUCCAGCAAUGCCGCGUGAGUGAUGAAGGCCUUAGGGUUGUAAAGCUCUUUUACCCGGGAUGAUAAUGACAGUACCGGGAGAAUAAGCCCCGGCUAACUCCGUGCCAGCAGCCGCGGUAAUACGGAGGGGGCUAGCGUUAUUCGGAAUUACUGGGCGUAAAGCGCACGUAGGCGGCUUUGUAAGUUAGAGGUGAAAGCCUGGAGCUCAACUCCAGAAUUGCCUUUAAGACUGCAUCGCUUGAAUCCAGGAGAGGUGAGUGGAAUUCCGAGUGUAGAGGUGAAAUUCGUAGAUAUUCGGAAGAACACCAGUGGCGAAGGCGGCUCACUGGACUGGUAUUGACGCUGAGGUGCGAAAGCGUGGGGAGAAACAGGAUUAGAUACCCCCGUAGUCC